rnacentral:misc_RNA from 1 species
GUGUGUGUGUGUGUGUGUGUGAUAUAUGAGUUAACAUGCUUAGUCAAAAUUGUCAUGAUUUUGACUAAGAGUGUGUCAUGUCUCUGUCUUUGUCUCAUGUGUGUGCGUGUAUGUUAAUUAGUUUCUAUAAAAAUAAAAAGUCUAAGGGUUUGCAGUAUGUGAGUUGGGUGCUAUAGUGUACUAUGAUAGUGUGUGUGUGUGUGUGUG